rnacentral:lncRNA from 1 species
UCGCACGUCAUAGCACAGAAGCUCCGCAAACAACCAGCUUGGGCAGAAGUAAAAUACCUUAUCAUGAUGUACUGACUGGAUACUGAGCCAAAACUGUGAAACAUUCAUGAAACCGAAGGUUGCUCUGAAAUGAUGCAAAGACAGUCCCAGAGAUUUGGCUUAGUUUCUCAACGAGGGUGUUUUCGCACCAAGAUGAAGGAUCUAAUGAAAGUCACCGAGCUUCUGAUGGUUGAGCCAAUUGUUGAAGGUCAUCAACAACCCUCAUAGACUUCCAUUCAGAUUCUUCUUUGGGUUGUCUCAAGGCAACAAAAUGAAGGGCUCCACUCUGCACUUGGUAAAUAUGGCAUGACCACGGAUAUGAAUCAUGUGCUGACCAAAUCUUUUGGUCUUCUAAAACUGUUUCCUCAGCAAGGGAUUCUGCAAUACAAUAUACAGCUUUAGGGUCUGGCUCCUCAAACCUAGGCACAGCAAAAUACACCAAAAAAAGUAUCGAUUAUAGAAUUUAGCCUAUUUUUACAAUAACAACGUUCUCAAAUAUAUGUAUUAUAUUCUUUUUGUUUUUAUUUUCCCACAAGAAAGAGUAAUAACCUCCCUAUACACAUAAAUUAGUUGAAAGGAAAAAUAUAUACAUGAUUGGAUUGAUAAUUUAAACUAGAUAAUUAUAUUUCUCAUUAACUCUUUGAAAUCAAUACCUAUAGAUUAACCAUCAUGUCCAAAGAACACCCCCCCCCCCCCAAAACCCCCAAAACAAAAAAUCCACAACCCAAAAAAAAAAAAAAAACACGCACACACACACACGAAUUAGUUGCACGGAGUGGUGCAUGCAUGGUUACGUGGACAAGUUUAGCUGAGUAAUUAUAUGUCCCGUUAAUUCUUUAGGAUCAACACCUGGGGAUUAACGAACAAAUAUAUAUAUAUCUAUAUAUAUAUAUAUACAUACACACACAUAUAUACACACACACACACUCCCUUUGAAGUUAGUACACCAGAGCCUUGAGCCCUUCAGUACGGCAAAGACAAGACAAAAAAUUCUUGCAUGUACACUUGCAGAAGAACUCGAAUGAAAAGCACCAAAGUUUCAAGUGCAACUCAACCAACUCCGACCCUCAAAUCAUUAAUCAUCUGUGUCCAGGUUCCUGCGAGAAAAUCUAUGGAACAUACAAGAAUAAACUCAUCAUCUUCAUCUCGCACGUCAUAGCACUGAAGCUCACCAGCUUGGGCUGAAGUAGAAUACCUUGUCAUGAUGUACUGACUGGAUACUGAGCUAAAACUGUGAAACAUUCAUGAAACCGAAGGUUGCUCCGAAAUGAUGCAAAGACAGCCCCAGAGAUUUGGCUUAGUUUCUCAACGAGGGUGUUUUCGCACCAAGAUGAAGGAUCUAAUGAAAGUCACCGAGCUUCUGAUGGUUGAGCCAAUUGUCAAAGGUCAUCAACAACCCUCAUAGACUUCCAGUCAGAUUCUUCUUUGGGUUGUCUCAAGGCAACAAAAUGAAGGGCUCCACUCUGCACUUGGUAAAUAUGGCAUGACCACGGAUAUGAAUCAGGUGCUGACCAAAUCUUUUGGUCUUCUAAAACU